rnacentral:lncRNA from 10 species
AUGCUGUGAUGUGGAUGGCUGAGCAUGGACCCUGAGGAGCUUGGCUGUGUGGAUUUCAGAGAUCUCUGGCUUAUGCCUUGUGAGGAAAAUGGACAUCUUGGAUAAGAACAUAUGUCCCCAUUGGGGCUUGGGUUUAGACAACAGAUACGAGGCAAAGACCACGGAGCAACCACUGUGACGAUUCAUAGGUUUGCGAGACAUGAGGUGUACAUUUUCUGCAAUUCAAUAGUCUCAGCAACUGACAAAAUGGGAGGUGUAUAACCUAUAGAACUUCUGGGGGUAAAUAAGACAUCAAUCAAUACAUAUAAGGUAUACAUUGGUUCGGUCUGGAAAGGUUUGGGACAAUUCGAAGUUGGGAGCUUCCAGGUCAUUCUAAAUACCAGUCAUGCUGUAAACCAACAGAUGCCAGCACGCAAGGCCCAGCCAGCCCGGUAACUAACCAUUUGCCUUUUUUAGGGCUUUCUAUGAGGUCAGUAAACAUUUUGAAAGGCUAAGUAAGGUUUUCCUCUUCCUGUUUCCUUGUGCUCUGAACCUCCCUAACCUGCCCCCUGGGCCUGCUGGCCUGGCUACACACACUGCCCCAGGCAAAAAUGGUUGGAGGGAUCUGUAUGGGACUUUGAUGAGAGCUGGUUUAGAGAAGGUGAGGAUGGAGGUCAAAGCCACAGAGGCGGCUGA